AUGCUCGCUUCGGUACCACGUAUAUUAAAAUCGAAAGCAUACGGAGAAGAUUAGCAUGGCCCCUGCACAAGGAUGACACACAAUUUCGUGAAGCGUUCCAUAUUUUU
ensembl:snRNA U6 U6 spliceosomal RNA